AUUGAACGCUGGCGGAAUGCUUUACACAUGCAAGUCGAACGGCAGCACGGACUUCGGUCUGGUGGCGAGUGGCGAACGGGUGAGUAAUGUAUCGGAACGUGCCCAGUCGCGGGGGAUAACGUAGUGAAGAUUACGCUAAUACCGCAUACGAUCUAUGGAUGAAAGCGGGGGAUCGCAAGACCUCGCGCGAUUGGAGUGGCCGAUAUCAGAUUAGGUAGUUGGUGGGGUAAAGGCCCACCAAGCCAACGAUCUGUAGCUGGUCUGAGAGGACGACCAGCCACACUGGAACUGAGACACGGUCCAGACUCCUACGGGAGGCAGCAGUGGGGAAUUUUGGACAAUGGGCGAAAGCCUGAUCCAGCCAUUUCGCGUGCAGGAUGAAGGCCCUCGGGUUGUAAACUGCUUUUGUACAGAACGAAAAGGUUUCUACUAAUACUAGGAGCUCAUGACGGUACUGUAAGAAUAAGCACCGGCUAACUACGUGCCAGCCGCCGCGGUAA
rnacentral:rRNA from 1 species